CUAACCUAUAGCUUAUUUUUUGUUGCAAAUUUUGCUAACAACUAAACUUUUUUUCCCCUUUCUAGGUCACUUUUGGGUAAGAAACACUCGUAUAUAUCACUGAUCCUAUGAUUUGCCUCUAAAUGAAUGGUCUUUUAGAUUGUCUGACGAUCCAGUCGGAGCAGAGUGCUCAAAGGAUUACCUUGUGAUUCCGGCUGGUGUUGAUACGAAAACAGAUGGAGAUUUAGAAGCCACGGAUAUGUCAAACGCGCAAAGAAUUUGUGGUAAUGUUUUUUCCAUCGACGAACCAACUUCAGUUUCUAUUUGUGCAAAAAGUGCACCUUUCUUCGUUGAAUUCAAAUCUGAUGGAGAUGAAGCGGAAGGGACAGGGACUCCUGGUUUUAGUUUGAAUUAUAAACAAAUGAUCUGUCCCUGAUGUGAAAGAAAGCAAGUAUUUUCACUAUGUUCAAUGGCUCUAGAAUAAAUCAUGAAUGUUGUUUUGCA